AAUCCAUGAUAAGGACACCUUAUCAGAAGAUCCUUAAAUCUCUCCUAUGCAUCAUACAGUGUCUCACGCUCAAAUUGAGAAAAAAAAAAGAUGUCAUUCCUCAGUUU
rnacentral:snoRNA from 1 species